GGCAUUGGAGUGACGCGAUGAAGUUCCUUUGCGUGGUGCCAUGCUGAUAGAAUACUUGCUCCUUCUUGUAAAUAGAUUUGAAUCUUUCCUCUAGUACCAAUUUAUUACCGCUAGUCUUCUGAUAGAGAUCGAAUCGGUUGGAGAAGAGAUGUGGCUAAUGCUUGGUGGUGGUGACUCGACCUGCAAAAUAAGUCUUGGACUGAAAUUGGCUCCGCUCAAAUCAAAAAACUAGGGAACGGAGGG
rnacentral:lncRNA from 1 species